CUGGGGAUGGGGACCUGGGACAUGAGGACCUGGGGGUGAGGAUCUGGGGACCUUGGAGGUGGGGACCUGGGACCCGGGGACCCCCCGUGUGAAGCCUCUGUGGGGCCGCGGUCCCUGACGCCGCGGCGCAGCGCGGGGCGAGGGCUGCAGCGGCUUCGGGAACGUGUUCACGGAGAUCCCGGAGAACAGCGCCCACGGCAGCCUGGUGGCCCGGCUGCCGGCGGGGGGGGACGCGGGGGGCCCCGCGCUGCAGCUCUGCCUGGCCGGCGCCGACGCCGCCUGGUUCUACCUGGACGGGCGCAGCCUGCGCCUCAACGCCUCCGCCGGGAGGGCGCUGGACCGCGAGGAGCUGGAGUCCCCGGUGCUGAUGGUGGCCCUGACGUGCGCCGAGGACGGCUUCGCCCCGGUGGAGUACCGCGUCAUCGUCCAGGUCCUCAACGAGAACGACAACCGGCCCCGCUUCCGUGGGGAGCCUGUCCUCACCCACAACGUCAGCGAGGUGUGGGGAGGGGAGGGGAGGGGAGGGGAUGGGAUGGGAUGGGAUUGGGAUGGGGAUGGG
rnacentral:lncRNA from 1 species